AUGAAGCACAUAUUCAAGAUCAUCGCGGUGCUGGCGGCGAUCUCGGCCGUCUGGGUUGCGCUCCUUGAAACCUCGACAGUUCCUCGCAGUUAUACUUGGCUGCUUCCCAUCUACUUGGUAGUGGCGCUUGGAUGCUACGGCCUUUUCAUGGUUGGGUAUGGGCUGAUGUUCUUUCCCACUUGUCCUCGAGAAGCCAUACUACUACAGCAGGAUAUUGUGGAGGCAAAGGAAUUCUUAUCCAAAAGGGGUGUUGAUGUGGGCUCCGACUGA
rnacentral:rRNA from 1 species